CUAAUGUUGACUGAAAGGAAAAAGUUCAGUUUAGGGUUUAAAACCCUAAUGCUGACUAAAAGGAAAAUUCAGUUUAGGGUUUAAAACCCUAAUGCUGAUUGCAUGGAGAAACCAGUUUAGGGUUUAAAACCCCUAAUGCUGGCUGAAAGGAAAAAGCUCAGUUUAGGGUUUAAAACCCUAAUGCUGACUAAAAGGAAAAUUCAGUUUAGGGUUUAAAACCCUAAUGCUGAUUGCAUAGAGAAGCUUAGUUUAGGGUUUAAAACCCUAAUGCUGGCUGAAAGGAAAAAGUUCAAUUUAGGGUUUAAAACCCUAAUGCUGACUAAAAGGAAAAUUCAGUUUAGGGUUUAAAACCCUAAUGUUGAUUGCAUGGAAAAACUCAGUUUAGGGUUUAAAACCCUAAUGUUGACUGAAAGGAAAAAGUUCAGUUUAGGGUUUAAAACCCUAAUGCUGACUAAAAGGAAAAUUCAGUUUAGGGUUUAAAACCCUAAUGCUGAUUGCAUGAAAAAGAUCAGUUUAGGGUUUAAAACCCUAAUGCUGGCUGAAAGGAAAAAAGUUCAGUUUAGGGUUUUAAAACCCUAAUGCUGACUAAAAGGAAAAUUCAGUUUAGGGUUUAAAACCCUAAUGCUGAUUGCAUGGAGAAGCUCAGUUUAGGGUUUAAAACCCUAAUGUUGGCUGAAAGGAAAAAGUUCAGUUUAGGGUUUAAAACCCUAAUGCUGACUAAAAGGAAAAUUCAGUUUAGGGUUUAAAACCCUAAUGCUGAUUGCAUGAAAAAGCUCAGUUUAGGGUUUAAAACCCUAAUGCUGGCUGAAAGGAAAAAAGUUCAGUUUAGGGUUUUAAAACCUAAUGCUGACUAAAAGGAAAAUUCAGUUUAGGGUUUAAAACCCUAAUGCUGAUUGCAUGGAAAAAGCUCAGUUUAGAGUUUAAAACUCUAAUGCUAACUGAAAGGGAAAAGUUCAGUUUAGGGUUUAAAACUAAUCCUGACUAAAGGAAAGUUCAGGUUAGGGUUUAAAACCCUAAUGCUAACUGCAUGGAAAAGCUUAGUUUAGGGUUUAAAACACUAAUGCUGGCUGAAUGGAAAAAGUUCAGUGUAGGGUUUAAAACCCUAAUGCUGACUAAAGGAAAAAUUCAGUUUAGGGUUUAAAACCCUAAUGCUGAUUGCAUGGAAAAGCUCAGUUCAGGGUUUACAACCCUAAUACUUGCUGAAAGGAAAUAGUUCAGUUUAGGGUUUUAAAACCCUAAUGCUGACUAGAGGGAAAAUUCAGUUUAGGGUUUAAAACCCUAAUGCUGACUGCAUGGGAAAGCUCAGUUUAGGGUUUAAAACCCUAAUGCUGGCUGAAUGGAAAAAAGUUCAGUUUAG
rnacentral:lncRNA from 1 species